rnacentral:rRNA from 1 species
UACGAAGGGGGCUAGCGUUGCUCGGAAUUACUGGGCGUAAAGGGCGCGUAGGCGGAUACUUAAGUCGGGGGUGAAAGCCCAGGGCUCAACCCUGGAAUAGCCUUCGAUACUGGGUAUCUUGAGUUCGGGAGAGGUGAGUGGAAUGCCGAGUGGUAGAGGUGAAAUUCGUAGAUAUUCGGCGGAACACCAGUGGCGAAGGCGACUCACUGGCCCGAUACUGACGCUGAGGCGCGAAAGCGUGGGGAGCAAACAGGG